rnacentral:rRNA from 1 species
CUAGGCUUGACAUGCAUGGGAAAGCCUCGAGAAACCGAGGCCCCUCUUCGGAGUCCAUGCACAGGUGCUGCAUGGCUGUCGUCAGCUCGUGUCGUGAGAUGUUGGGUUAAGUCCCGCAACGAGCGCAACCCCCGUUUCUAGUUGCCAGCGAGUUAAGUCGGGGACUCUAGAAAGACUGCCGGUGCCAAACCGGAGGAAGGUGGGGAUGGCGUCAAGUCAUCAUGGUCCUUACGUCUAGGGCUACACACGUGCUACAAUGAUCGGUACAGAGGGUUGCCAACUCGCGAGAGUGCGCCAAUCCCCGAAAGCCGAUCUCAGUGCGGAUUGGAGGCUGCAACUCGCCUCCAUGAAGCUGGAAUCGCUAGUAAUCGUGGAUCAGCUACGCCACGGUGAAUACGUUCCC